rnacentral:rRNA from 1 species
GAUGAACGCUGGCGGCGUGCCUAAUACAUGCAAGUCGAGCGAACGGACGAGAAGCUUGCUUCUCUGAUGUUAGCGGCGGACGGGUGAGUAACACGUGGAUAACCUACCUAUAAGACUGGGAUAACUUCGGGAAACCGGAGCUAAUACCGGAUAAUAUUUUGAACCGCAUGGUUCAAAAGUGAAAGACGGUCUUGCUGUCACUUAUAGAUGGAUCCGCGCUGCAUUAGCUAGUUGGUAAGGUAACGGCUUACCAAGGCAACGAUGCAUAGCCGACCUGAGAGGGUGAUCGGCCACACUGGAACUGAGACACGGUCAAGACUCCUACGGGAGGCAGCAGUAGGGAAUCUUACGCAGUGGGCGAAAGCCUGACGGAGCAACGGCGCGUGAGUGAUGAAGGUCUUCGGAUCGUAAAACUCUGUUAUUAGGGAAGAACAUAUGUGUAAGUAACUGUGCACAUCUUGACGGUACCUAAUCAGAAAGCCACGGCUAACUACGUG